AUUGAACGCUGGCGGCAGGCCUAACACAUGCAAGUCGAGCGGAUGAAGGGAGCUUGCUCCUGGAUUCAGCGGCGGACGGGUGAGUAAUGCCUAGGAAUCUGCCUGGUAGUGGGGGAUAACGUCCGGAAACGGGCGCUAAUACCGCAUACGUCCUGAGGGAGAAAGUGGGGGAUCUUCGGACCUCACGCUCUCAGAUGAGCCUAGGUCGGAUUAGCUAGUUGGUGGGGUAAAGGCCUACCAAGGCGACGAUCCGUAACUGGUCUGAGAGGAUGAUCAGUCACACUGGAACUGAGACGCGGUCCAGACUCCUACGGGAGGCAGCAGUGGGGAAUAUUGGACAAUGGGCGAAAGCCUGAUCCAGCCAUGCCGCGUGUGUGAAGAAGGUCUUCGGAUUGUAAAGCACUUUAAGUUGGGAGGAAAAGCAGUAAGUUAAUACCUUGCUGUUUUGACGGUACCAAAAGAAUAAGCACCGGCUAACUUCGUG
rnacentral:rRNA from 1 species